rnacentral:rRNA from 1 species
ACCAUGCAAGUCGACGCGAAAGUGGAGCAUCCAUGAGUAGAGUGUCCAACGGGUGAGUAACGCGUGGGCGACCUACCUCUGAGUGGGGGAUAACCUUCCGAAAGGAGGGCUAAUACCGCAUGACAUCCCGUGUUUGGAUACACGGACAUCAAAGCCGGGGAUCGCAAGACCUGGCGCUUGGAGAGGGGCCCGCGUCCGAUUAGCUAGUUGGUGGGGUAACGGCUCACCAAGGCUCCGAUCGGUAUCCGGCCUGAGAGGGCGGACGGACACACUGGAACUGAGACACGGUCCAGACUCCUACGGGAGGCAGCAGUGGGGAAUUGUUCGCAAUGGGCGCAAGCCUGACGACGCAACGCCGCGUGGAGGAUGAAGACUUUCGGGUCGUAAACUCCUUUCGACCGAGAUGAAUUCCCUCCGGCCUAACACGCCGGAAGGGUGACAGUAUCGAGGGAAGAAGCCCCGGCUAACUCUGUGCCAGCAGCCGCGGUAAUACAGGGNGGGCGAGCGUUAUUCGGAAUUACUGGGCGUAAGGGUUUGUAGGUGGCUUGUUAGUCAGACGUGAAAUCCCUCAGCUUAACUGGGGAACUGCGUCUGAUACUGGCGAGCUUGAGUGCAGGAGAGGAACGCGGAAUUCCAGGUGUAGCGGUGAAAUGCGUAGAUAUCUGGAGGAACACCGGUGGCGAAGGCGGCGUUCUGGACUGCAGCUGACACUGAGAAACGAAAGCCAGGGGAGCAAACGGGAUUAGAUACCCCGGUAGUCCUGGCCCUAAACGAUGAAUGCUUGGUGUGGCGGGUAUCGAUCCCUGCCGUGCCGAAGUUAACGCGUUAAGCAUUCCGCCUGGGGAGUACGGUCGCAAGGCUGAAACUCAAAGGAAUUGACGGGGGCCCGCACAAGCGGUGGAGCAUGUGGUUCAAUUCGACGCAACGCGAAGAACCUUACCUGGGCUCGAAAUGCAGAUGACCAUCGGCGAAAGUCGACUUCCGCAANGACGUCUGUNUAGGUGCUGCAUGGCUGUCGUUAGCUCGUGUCGUGAGAUGUUGGGUUAAGUCCCCCAACGAGCGCAACCCUUGUUCUCUGUUGCCAUCAGGUCAAGCUGGGCACUCUGAAANACUGCCGGUGACAAACCGGAGGAAGGUGGGGAUGACGUCAAGUCA